rnacentral:rRNA from 1 species
CAGUCUUACCUGCGGAUAAUCAGCUUUUUGAGUGUGAUUAUGUGGUUUAUGAGGAGUUUAACCGCCUUCAUGUAUUGCAUAUUUGUGCUCUUGGGUGUACUUGUCUGUGUGGUUAGUUAACAUCAAUUUUGGUUAUCAUAAAAUGGCUGGAGGAAUGUAGCUUCGAUCUCGUAUUGAAGUGUUAUAGUCUUCCGGCGGAUGUGAUGAUCGGGAUUGAGGAUUGCAACGGAUA